rnacentral:rRNA from 1 species
GUUAACGCCGUGCCCUCAAGCGAGGGAAUACGGUGGAACGAGGCGUUAUCCGGAUGCAGUGGGUUGAAAUGGUCCGUAGGCGGUCUUAGAAGUCAGUGGUGAAAGCCCAUCGCUCAACGAUGGAACUGCCAUUGAUACGGUAGGACUUGAAUACUUAGGAAGUAACUAGAAUAUGUAGUGUAGCGGUGAAAUGCUUAGAUAUUACAUGGAAUACCAAGUGCGAAGGCAGGUUACUACUAAGUGAUUGACGCUGAUGGACGAAAGCGUGGGGAGCGAACAGGAUUAGAUACCCGGGUAGUC